rnacentral:rRNA from 1 species
UACGUAGGGUGCGAGCGUUAAUCGGAAUUACUGGGCGUAAAGCGUGCGUAGGCGGUCCGCGAAGUCUGAUGUGAAAGCCCCGGGCUCAACCUGGGAACUGCAUUGGAAACUAACGGGCUCGAGUGUGGCAGAGGGGGGUGGAAUUCCACGUGUAACAGUGAAAUGCGUAGAGAUGUGGAGGAACACCGAUGGCGAAGGCAGCCCCCUGGGCUAACACUGACGCUCAUGCACGAAAGCGUGGGGAGCAAACAGG